ACUCCCCAGGCGGUCUACUUAUCGCGUUAGCUGCGCCACUAAAGCCUCAAGGGCCCCAACGGCUAGUAGACAUCGUUUACGGCAUGGACUACCAGGGUAUCUAAUCCUGUUUGCUCCCCAUGCUUUCGCACCUCAGUGUCAGUAUUAGGCCAGAUGGCUGCCUUCGCCAUCGGUAUUCCUCCAGAUCUCUACGCAUUUCACCGCUACACCUGGAAUUCUACCAUCCUCUCCCAUACUCUAGCUAACCAGUAUCGAAUGCAAUUCCCAAGUUAAGCUCGGGGAUUUCACAUUUGACUUAAUUAGCCACCUACGCGCGCUUUACGCCCAGUAAAUCCGAUUAACGCUUGCACCCUCUGUAUUACCGCGGCUGCUGGCACAGAGUUAGCCGGUGCUUAUUCUGCGAGUAACGUCCACUUAUCCCGGGUAUUAACCAGGUAAGCCUCCUCCUCGCUUAAAGUGCUUUACAACCAAAAGGCCUUCUUCACACACGCGGCAUGGCUGGAUCAGGGUUCCCCCCAUUGUCCAAUAUUCCCCACUGCUGCCUCCCGUANGAGUCU
rnacentral:rRNA from 1 species